AUCUCACUCAUAUGUGGAAUUUAAUGACCAACAGAAACUGAUAAACAAAAAUAGAUCCAGAGACAG